GUCUUUUUCUGCAGGACCGCUGUUUGCUCCCGGCAGCAGCUGCCACUGCCAACAGAACUGGCAGUUGGGAGGGACACUGGGAGGCGUCGCCGCCAGGCCAUCCCAUUUGACUGCUUAACUCUGCCCGGAGUGCCGGGACCUAUCCUGCCCUGCCUUCUUUCUGCACCGCUCAUCGGAGCUGGUCCCUCGGUCCGCCCUGGCAGGCAGCCUGCCUGGGUGUGGAAUAGGGGCUAGGGUGGAGCAUAGUCUUUUAGGGGUGGUUACUUUGUAACGAUCACAGCUAGUCUGUUUUGACAUUACCACAGCUGGCCUGGGACCGGCGAGGAGCAGAGACUUGGCUUUUCGUUGGUGUCUGCCCCCUCCCCCCUGGUGGUGUGCAUUUGUUUCCUUGCCCCCUUGUUCCCUUCUUUCUUCCUCCCGCCUUUAGCGAAGUGACACACCUCUGGUGUUUGAGGUUGGGGCUCGGCACCUUCUUGGUGACGGUGCCAAGCGCACUGGUGACGGGGUUGAGGGGGUGGUGAACAGAGGAGGGGCUCCGGUCCUUCCAAGCACACGAUGCCCAGAGGGGCAGCGGGUGGGCUGCGUGCGGCUCGACCCUCAGCGCUCCGGGGCGGGAUCGAGGGGCUGCAGUUGGCCAUGAGUUCCUGCUAAAGUGGACUCGAGUGGACGGCGCCAAGUCUUCCGCGAAGGCACCACGAGCGGGAGCUGUCUGCGGACUGCCGGGAGGACCGUGGCCGAGCGCGCAGCCUCUACUCGCGGGGUAACUGCUGGGCACUUGGAGAGCCGCGGCCCGAGGAGAGCCAGCCCCGGCGAAGUGGAGAGGAGACGGCCGCGGCCCGGGCUGCUUCCUUGAAGACCCAUCUUCUGAUUACUUUCACGCGGUGGAAUAAGAGCAGACACCGGGGACCAGCCUCGCGAGCCCCACCUCCCACUUGCUUCGCUCGCUGGGAUCCCAGGUUGGAUGCGAGGAGGUCGCCGCGAGCACCGUCUGGCCACCGGUGCAGGCUAACGCACAGAGGCGCGCGCGCGCACACGCACGCUCGGGGCCACACUCGCUCGCCCUCCGCGAGCGCACACGCCGCACUUCGGGUCCCUAUGCCCCUGGAUGGUGCCGGCGGAUUGGCAUCUUCGGAGCGAUGCGAGAGCGUUGAGGCUGGCGCCGGCCCGCGGAAGCUACAGGACCCUCGAUAGGUGCUGCCGCCACCGGGAAGCCCGGCUGCAGUUGUUGAAACUACUGGGAGAAGCAGAGCAGAGCCAAGGUUUUGUGCAUUGUGUAGAGUUUCACAAAAGACCACAGGAUGAGUAAGAGAUCCCUACAGAAAGUGACAAAAGGAAAGCUGCUGAUAAUAAUAGUUAUUGUAACCUUGUGGGGGAACGUUGUGUCCAGUGCAAACCAUCACAAAGCUCACCAUGUUAAAACGGGAACUUGCGAGGUGGUGGCACUCCACAGAUGCUGCAAUAAGAACAAGAUAGAAGAACGGUCACAAACUGUCAAGUGCUCCUGCUUCCCUGGGCAGGUGGCAGGCACCACACGGGCUGCUCCAUCUUGUGUGGAUGCCUCCAUAGUGGAACAGAAAUGGUGGUGCCAUAUGCAGCCAUGUUUGGAGGGAGAGGAAUGUAAAGUUCUUCCAGACCGGAAAGGAUGGAGCUGCUCUUCUGGGAAUAAAGUGAAAACAACUCGGGCAAACGUGUAAAACUCUUCAAGUUGGAGUGGAGAAGUAGAAAGUUUCUGCUGUGCCUGAUGACAAUUUUUGAUUUUCCACAUUCAAAAUUAUUGUGGCUCCACAUUAGCGCAGUUGUGCGAAUCCUAGUGUUGGUCGAAUGCUAAGGAAGGGGCAGAAGUUUCCUUGAGAAGUAAAGAUUCAAAACAACUCCAGAAAUGAGCUCCUGUCUCGGUUUAUUUCUCACAGAGCAGCAGGUAACCCAUUAACCAAGGACAACUCAAGUGAUCCUCAAGACUGGGUACAUUGAACAUAUGCCUAGAAACUUGAUUCCUGAGGUGAUCUUGAAGAUUUUUAUACCUCUCAGAAAAGACCCUCCUGUCUAUUUCCAAGGGAUUCCAUGGCUUGCUACCAGCUUCUUGAAACCAAGACUUUUGAGAUGUCGGACAUAAACUUCGAUGUCCUAAAGACAUCAUCAGACUUGAACUGUGCCCAAGGGCAGCACUGCUGAGGGAAGCUGAUGUUGCUUUCACAGGGCUGGUGUGGAGUUGCUAUUUCUAGGGUAACAUCAGAGACUGUCACCUAUUGGGUUCCUGGAUGCAGCUGUUACUGCUUUUCUUGUUCCUGAAAGCUGUCUCCCAAGUGCACUGUCCUUCUGUCAUGGAUGUGUUACUGGGUCCUUUCUUCAUUGUCUAAGUAGGACUGUACACAGCUUUGAUGACCUUUCCUUUGUGAACUUCUUCUCUGGCAUGGUGUAGACUGAGGCAUUUUUAUUGCUAUCCUAACCUGGGAUCUCUGAAAGUCUACACAAUUUACCAUCUUAUAGUUGAUUUUGUGAAAGGAAUGGAAAUAUAUAUCCAUUGAUAAAACUAUUGUUGGCAAGUAAUAAUAAUCUGAAUACAACAAUCAUGUAAGAAUGUAUAGACAGGCUGACAUAUUUCCCCAAGGCUAAUCCAUGACUGCAGCUCUGUCAGUUAAAUAGAUAGUAGUUAGAAUCAGAUUAAGCAUUUUCAUUAUAUAGUACUUUGUACUGCUGGUCAACCUUCCAUUUCAGGUUUUUUUUUUUCUUUUUUCUUUUAAGUGGAAUUUUUCUUUAUUUUUCAUACUUCUUACUGCUUUUUUUCAUUCAUAGAAACCAACAGUGAGCAGUCAAGUCAGUAGGUAACUUUUAAUUCCCCAAAUAUUGCCAGGGCUGCAUGUGAGUUUCGAUCUCUUCUCUUGAGCUUUGUUCACUUAGAAUUAUAGUAUUUUUUUUUAAACUACCCUUUUUGUCUCAUUUUAAAAGAUUGUCUCUUGCUUGAUCCCAGUGACUGUUUGAAUGCUUAUAUAUUUGUUUGUUUGGUAUGUUGAUAGAAUAAAUUGUUCAUUUUCCUUGAUCACAAAGGUAUAAAUAUUUGCUUAUAGUUGUUCCAUUCAGUUUCUUAGUCCAGUAUUUUGUCCACAUUUUCAUAGGCAUUUUAACAUUAAUGAUUUUUGGUUCUACAGGCACAUCUUAUAAAUAUUUAAAGGCCUUAAACAUUUAUUUACUUUUUCUAAGUUGUUACAGAAUGUAUAAUUUUAUACUACAUUUUCCUUGUUUCACUUGUGGUGUGGAGGGAGAGAAGAAUGAGCAUUACAUAGCCACUCUAUAGUAAUAUCUUACAAACUUGUAGUUUGAACAAAUGUAAUGGGAGGAUUUCUGGUUCUGGGUUUUACUUAUUUUAGAAUCAUCUGAAGAUGCAUCUAAUUUUGUCCUUACAGGAAUCCCAUUAUGUUAGUAAAAGUUUGAAGACACUUUGUACAUUAAUACUCACUGGCAUGGCCAGUUAGCCACAUGCUUGGUUUCCAUAGUGGAAGCUCACAUGUCCUAGGGAAUUUGUCCCCAUUAGUCUAUAACAAUAUUCAAAGACCUAUACCUUAACCCAGACUCUUUAUUGUGAAGAACAACUAAGAUCAUCAAAUCUGAUAAAAAUUAAAUUUGAAAAAUGUACUUUGAAUAGUGAAAUAGUGCUUACUGCCCCAUAAGUAUGUGGAAUGAAAAGACUUUUCACCUCCAUGUUAUGUAAUCAUACUAACUGGAUGGUUCUGAGUGGGUUUUGCAAUGGCUCAAAACUACACAAAGUCAUAAACAGCCAUUGUAGUAGAGAUUUUGCAUCAAUUCCAGUACAAUUAAUUUCUUGGAACAAGAGGAAAACUAUAUUGUUUUGGAAAUUAUCAAAUUGGUUUGUUUGAAAUUAUAGAUUAUGUUUCUCAUUUGAAAAACUAUGUCCUUUAAAACAACACUGGAAAUUCUGUAUUAUAUAAAAGUGUUAUACAUGCAUAUCCAUAGAAAAAUAAAUGGAAUUUCAAAUAUACUAACUAGAUUAUUCUCAGUAGGUUAAUGUUGUGUCAGAAAAAUGUGAAUAAAAUUGGGAUAUAAAAUGGA